rnacentral:lncRNA from 1 species
AUUUUUUGUAAAUAAUUUACAAUAUGGUUUUCUUUGUAAAUACUGUGCAAUAGAUGGAGUAGUAAAAAAAAAAAAGAAAAAAAGCACAUGAUGAAACCAAAUCAGGAAACAAAAAGCUAUUGCGAGAACAGCAGGAAAGGGCUAGAUCAAAUUGUCCAGGAUUUUGCAUGAAAAUUGGAAUAAUCUUAAUGUAUGCCCAAGUAUAUUGCUUGUUCAGGUGCUGAUUCUGUGAACUUAAAUCAAAAUCCAGGUAAAACUGAGAGGUGGCUUAAGGGAAAACCAACUGUUUUGCAGGUUUGUUGGUGGAGGUGAUAUGGAAAAGCGAUGGGACGUGGCCAGUUGGGCCUGACAUCGCUCCGGUGGAGCUGACGGGCAGUGACUGAAGGGUGGUUGAGUGCUUUACUCUGUUGACUGCAGGUAAGCAUCCCCCAGCUCUGCCAGCAGGCAUUUCCUGCCAUAUCCAACCCCAGGGCUCUGCAGAGGGGGUGGCUUUAACCAGAGAGCACAAGCAGCGGCCAAGGCAUGUAGCUUUAUAGACACCAGUGCUGCAAAUGUCACCCCUUAGGAGCAAGUGAUGAAACACAUUUCUCAGUCAUAAGCUGUAAAGUCACAGCCACUUCAUCAUCAGUUUUAAGGGUUUCCUGCUGCACUUCCUGGGUACCCAGCCAACAACCUGUGAAUAAUUAGAGGUGACAGAGAUCUGCUUCAAGGCACAGGGUUGUUUUGGGGAGCCAACUGCUCCCCUCUCCUCCUCCCAUGGUCUGCUCAGUCCUGCAAGACACCAAGCUCUGUAAACUUGGUAAAAGAAACUGAAUUCAUGCUUAAGCACAAAGAAGUUACUGAAACUUCAGAAGUGCUUAAGCUUAAGCCAACGUACAAGUGCUUUAUUAGCUCUGGCUAUAAGGCUUGGUACUUAACGUGACUGCUUCAAGGAGUUAAGAACAUGGGCCAAGUCCUCUGUGCAGAAUGAUUUCUUGGAUGCCAGAGCAUCCGUUUGCCAUUGAGUACCUGCAUUCAGGAGAGCUACACAAACAGCUUACCAGGGAAGGAAACAUCAGAGUAGGGUUUUGGCUGAUUAACCAGCUACAUAACAAAGAGGAGCAGCCAGUCUCUGGAGGCCACGUGCCCUCAUGGGCUACAAAUUUAAGAACCUCUGCCAUAAGGAAAGCAAGGGUUUUUAUUUCCAUGUGCUGAUGAAAAGGAAGGGCUGGGAUCUGGUUUUUUAAUUUGCCUAUUUGCAUUAUUAACACAUUCUCUUGCAAAUAAUACUGCUAAUUGCUCUGCAAGCUGUCUGCACUGAUACAAACUUAACCACCCCUGCAGAAAGUAAAUCAGGAUUUAUCAUCUCUACUUUGCGGAUAGAACAGACACCCGGAGUGAUAUUAAAAGCUGUGACCUGCAAAGAGCUUUCACCAAGGGUGGCAUAGGGAAGCCAGUGGGUGCUCCAGGUUGGAAUGGCAGCCACCAGCGACGGCUGGGUCUUCACCCCUGCUCUAACACACAACUCUAUGACAAUUGGUGAAGCUGCACCACUGUGCUCCUUGGCCGAGUACAAGGCAGAGGGGAGACACGAGUUGCACAAGGUCACACUAUGGUUUCACAGCAGGGCUGGGGCUGCCCUCAGGGACACCCGCCCUGCCCGCAGAUGAGAUGCUGGUGCCAGUGCAGAGGACACUCUUCCCAUGGAGCUCUGAGCUGUCAGUGUGAGAAUUAGCCCUUAAAUAUAUAUAUAUAUGUAUAUAUUUGUGAUCCUUUUUGCCUAUCCAAUAGGCCAUAUUGCGCCUGUUAAGUACAGCAUGAAGCACCAUUUCACCCCAGCCAGAGCCUCCCCUGCCGUGCCCGCAGCCACUCUGCUGAGAAACCAAACUGGAUUGAGACCCAGCACAGACCUGGGGGGGGGGGGGGGGUUUGCCCAUCUCCUGAGUUUUCAGCUCUCCCUGCAUGUGCCCAGUCCAUGACUACCAGGGGGUGGGUGUGGGAUCUGUGGGCAAAGGCAUCCGGAUGGUCGCACACACCGGUGGCUGCCAGUCUGGAUGCUCUGCAGCUGCGAUGCAGAAAGCUUCAACUCAUCUUGAUCUGCUGGAGAAGUUUUAAAUAAUAAUAAUAAUGAUAAUAAAAUAAACCACAACCACAAAAGCAAGAAACCAAUGGAAUGACUUCUGCGGUUUGUUGGGCUUUUCUUUUUCCCCCCUCUGUCCAGAAAUGACAGAGGAAAAAAACCCUACCUCACCAUCUAAAAUAUCAACAGGUCAAGGAUUAAAACAGAGUUACAGAAAGAAGCCAAGCAAAUUUGAUCUAGCCCAAAGCUCAUGUCAAAUGCACCUAAACAAAACCAGGACUCUGAGUGCACAACUGCUGCAUUAUUUUUCUUUAUGUACAGUUUCAAUAUAUAUAAAUAUAUAGAUAUAAAAUUAAAUACAAAAAGCUACCUUGGAAUAAUGUUAAGAGUGUGACAAGGGUAAGGGAGGUGGCAAAGUGGCAAAAGCCAGGGAAGUAAAAGGUGGUGGAUGGUUUCCAGGGAUGCUCACACUGAGCAGUCCACUCUGAGCCAUCUUGAUAUUAAGCACAUGCUUAAAGCCUGAGUAGGAUUUAAGCUGGUGCUUAAGAGUUUCAUUGAACAGAGCUGC